UACGGGGGGGGCAAGCGUUGUUCGGAAUUACUGGGCGUAAAGGGCUCGUAGGCGGCCAACUAAGUCAGACGUGAAAUCCCCCGGCUUAACCAGGGAACUGCGUCUGAUACUGGAUGGCUUGAGUUUGGGAGAGGGAUGCGGAAUUCCAGGUGUAGCGGUGAAAUGCGUAGAUAUCAGGAGGAACACCAGUGGCGAAGGCGGUGCUCUGGGCCGGAACUGACGCUGAGGAGCGAAAGUGUGGGGAGCGAACAGG
rnacentral:rRNA from 1 species